rnacentral:rRNA from 1 species
AGAGUUUGAUCCUGGCUCAGGAUGAACGCUAGCUACAGGCUUAACACAUGCAAGUCGAGGGGAAACGACAUCGAAAGCUUGCUUUUGAUGGGCGUCGACCGGCGCACGGGUGAGUAACGCGUAUCCAACCUGCCCAUCACUUGGGGAUAACCUUGCGAAAGUAAGACUAAUACCCAAUGAUAUCUCUAGAAGGCAUCUGAAAGAGAUUAAAGAUUUAUCGGUGAUGGAUGGGGAUGCGUCUGAUUAGCUUGUUGGCGGGGUAACAGCCCACCAAAGCAACGAUCAGUAGGGGUUCUGAGAGGAAGUCCCCCANAUUGGAACUGAGACACGGUCCAAACUCCUACGGGAGCA